GUUUCUGUGGGCUGUCUCUGGACUCUGGAUGCUGUUCCACCCCUUCACCUGUGGGCCCCCUGGUUUCUCAGCUGUGCUCCUGUGAGCUCUGUGGCCGGCCCUCUGCUGUGCUGUGCCUCGGCUGCGUCCCCAAGGCUGGCACCUAGGCUCUCUGAGGUGUUGCCCUGUCCGUCAGCCCAGGCCGCAGAACAAAGCGCCACGUGGCUGCGAUGGGGACACCCACUCUCAGGCCUCCUGGGGCUCCAGUCCGGGAUCCAGGGCUGAGGCUGGACCCUCAGAGGCCUCUCUCCUUGGCUCGCAGAUGGUGGCUUCCUCCUGUGUCCCCACAAGGUCAUCCUCUGGGAGACAGUGUCCUGUUCGCCUCUUCUUGUGAGGACCCCAGUCACAAGAGAGUCCAGCUCUGCCCGCUGUUGCUGCUGGGAUGUGGCCUGAGCCUCCAGAGUGGGCCUUGGGCUGUCCAUCCGCAUGACGAGGAGCCUGGGCUUUGAGCACAGAAGGUGACACCCUACCGUGCCAGCCGGGCACGGCAGGCCCCUGGGCACUGUGUCCCGAGGUGUCCCGUACCCAAGAGCAGGGGAACCCAGAGACAGGCCUGGGGGGAUGACCCAGGUGGCCGAGGGGCUGCCCAGCAUCAGAGCACGGGGGUCCUGAGAGCCGAGGGCCACAUGUGGGCACCUCAGGGCCAGGCUCCCAGAGUCCACGGAGAGGUCCUGUAGGAUGGAUGGGAGGAGGGCGACGUGCCAGAAAGCGGAGCAGGCCAGAGGUGCUGGGGGAGCCGAGGCACAGCAGGGCUGGGGCUGCACACCGACCUGGGGACAUUCGCGGCCCUCCACGCCCUGUCUCUCACGGCCUCCGAUCUGCAGGUCUCUAAGACUUGACCGCGUGGACUCCGUCCUCUGAGCCGUCUUCGACUCCAGGUCCCUGCAUGGCCCUGCCCCUCACAGGGACGGAGCGUUCUCCCUCCCCUUGGACUGACGCUCGCCGGGGCACACGUAGGGUCUGGGUGUACUUGGAGUGUCCCCCAGGGGUCCUUGGUCCCCAGGGUGGGGCACAGGAGGUGCAGGGCCCAGCAGAGGUCUCUCGGUCUCGGUUGUGGGUGGCAUCUGUCUCCCUCUGCUCCUGGUUCAGGUCGCUGGCUCAGACACGGGUCCCCAGCCUGCCAUCAGCCACAUGCCAUGAGAUCGUCACCAGCACUGAGCCCAGGUCAGCACCAGGCCUCGGGCCUCGGGCCUGUGACCUGGAGGAAGCGUCUUGCUAGUGCGGCCGGCUGCUGCGGGGCGCCUCCCCACGCGCUCACUGUCCUGCUCUGCCCAGGCCUCGAGCCCCUGCAGCUGUCCCCAGGUCCUCUAUUUGGUUCCCAGACUCUGCGGAGAGCUCGGCCUGCCCCAUGGCCACUCAGAACUGCUGAGCGUCACCUCAGUUCCUCUCCCUGCAGGGACAACGCCACACCCUGGAGCAGCUGCCGCCGGGACACGGCCGCUGCCUCCCUCUCUGGUCUCUUGUCCAAGGGGCGGUUGGUUAUUGAUGUUUGACUUGCAACUCGGGAGGCUGAGGCAGGACGGUCAAGUUCAAGGCCAGCCUCAGCUCAGAAGCUAGCAAGGCCCUGACUCAAGAUAAAAAGGGCUGGGAAAGUAGCCAGUGGUAGAGCUGCCUGGCUCACCCCCCAGAACCGAGAAAAGAAAGUAACCAAGAGCCCCCCAAGACUGGACACUCGGUGAGGGGAAGAAUGAGCAAGAGGAAGUUCCUUGCGACGGUCCCCUCGGCCCUCCCCCUCUGCCACCGCCAGGCCAGCCCAGCGGCCCGGGCCAGGCGGGAAGAGGCUCCGUGAUCUCGGGCACCGGCAUCACCUGCUCUGGCUUUCAAGGUCAGGGAGACUCUCCCCUGUGGCCUUUCAAGUGUGUCAUUAGCUCAGUUCAUUUAGAUCUGAUUGACUUCGAGUCAGUUUAGCAGAGAUCACGGGGUCUGGGUCGCGGGCUUCUCCUGAAGUGGGUCGUCAACUGCUCCAGCCCCGUCUGUUGGAAAGGAUCGUCCCUCUUGCUAGGUCUGCAUGUGACCCCAUCGCAGGGGUGGGAAGAGGCGGUGUGCUCCUGUGCAGCCGGGGACGCCCUGAGAGGCCCUCACGGACGCAGGGUCCUGCACCCUGACCUGCUCUUCCAGCCGGAGGAACUGCAGGCGGCUCUGCGGCUCCCAAGGCAGAGCCGGGGCCCCUAGUCAGAGCUGCACAAAGGAGCCAGGGCCCCUCUACCCCGCCACCCUGGCACCUGCAGGAAGCAGGGUCUCCCUCGAGGGCUGCUGGAGACGCAGCUUCCUGGAGGCUUUGCCAGCUGCCUCCAGGGACGUCCAGCACCUCUUUCCCUAUCAGCCUGCUGAUAGGGGCCUAACCUCCCUCCCA
rnacentral:lncRNA from 1 species